UUGCUACUGAGUGCGGCUGCCUCCGGGCGCCCAACCUCCCACCCGUGAAUACCUAACACUGUUGCUUCGGCGGGGAACCCCCUCGGGGGCGAGCCGCCGGGGACUACUGAACUUCAUGCCUGAGAGUGAUGCAGUCUGAGUCUGAAUAUAAAAUCAGUCAAAACUUUCAACAAUGGAUCUCUUGGUUCCGGCAUCGAUGAAGAACGCAGCGAACUGCGAUAAGUAAUGUGAAUUGCAGAAUUCAGUGAAUCAUCGAGUCUUUGAACGCACAUUGCGCCCCCUGGCAUUCCGGGGGGCAUGCCUGUCCGAGCGUCAUUGCUGCCCAUCAAGCCCGGCUUGUGUGUUGGGUCGUCGUCCCCCCCCGGGGGACGGGCCCGAAAGGCAGCGGCGGCACCGUGUCCGGUCCUCGAGCGUAUGGGGCUUUGUCACCCGCUCGACUAGGGCCGGCCGGGCGCCAGCCGACGUCUCCAACCAUUUUUCUUCAGGUUGACCUCGGAUCAGGUAGGGAUACCCGCUGAACUUAAGCAUAUCAAUAAGCGGAGGAAUCAUUACUGAGUGCGGGCUGCCUCCGGGCGCCCAACCUCACCGUGAAUACUAACACUGUUGCUUGGCGGGAACCCUCGGGGCGAGCCCGGGAC
rnacentral:rRNA from 1 species